CCUACGGGUGGCUGCAGUGGGGAAUAUUGGACAAUGGGCGAAAGCCUGAUCCAGCCAUGCCGCGUGUGUGAAGAAUGCCUUCGGGUUGUAAAGCACUUUCAGUGGGGAAGAAAGCCUUGGGGCUAAUACCCUCGAGGAAGGACAUCACCCACAGAAGAAGCACCGGCUAACUCCGUGCCAACAGCCGCGGUAAUACGUAGGGUGCGAGCGUUAAUCGGAAUUACUGGGCGUAAAGCGCGCGUAGGCGGUCUGAUAAGCCGGUUGUGAAAGCCCCGGGCUCAACCUGGGAACGGCAUCCGGAACUGUCAGGCUAGAGUGCAGGAGAGGAAGGUAGAAUUCCCGGUGUAGCGGUGAAAUGCGUAGAGAGCGGGAGGAAUACCAGUGGCGAAGGCGGCCUUCUGGACUGACACUGACGCUGAGGUGCGAAAGCGUGGGUAGCAAACAGGAUUAGAUACCCGUGUAGUC
rnacentral:rRNA from 1 species